CCAGCGGCGACUUCUGCAUCUCAGUCUUAAGAAAUCUUAAGUUCUCAUUCUCUCCUAGUCUGAAAAGCUCCAGUAACAACUAAAUAUUCAGUCAAAAUCUCGAUCGAGAUAAAAAAACCAUUUCAUUUUAGGUGAAGAUGAUUAAUGAGUUUAAUUGCUUAAUCUAGGGUUCCUGGAAAAAAAAAUUGUUUCGUGUGGUUAGUUUGCUAUAAUGGAGAAACUCUACAUAUAUAUGGGUUUUAUUUAAUUUGUGAUUUUGCUUCUUUGAUUUGGUUUUCAAGUUUUCUUGUGAUGAUGACUCGAUGUUCUUCAUCAACAGAAAAAACAGGUUAGGGUUUCUUCAAGUCAAGAUCUCUAUUCUGUUUAUUGUAUUAAGGUUUUCGAUUAUAACUAUUUUUUUGUUUUAAUUUGAGUUUGUGAAAAGAUUCAGUAGCUAACCAUGUCUCCAGCAUCUAAAGGUAAUUUUGUAGACUUCAGGUUUUUGUUACUUUGUUCUCUCUGGUUUAGACGUCCUUAAGGCAAUUUAUGGUUACAAUUCAUAAUUGCUGCAAUUAAUUUUAGUUUUUGAAUUGAUUUUUUAUUAUUUAUUGGAUUGUACUGAAUUUUAGGCUGAUAAAUAUCAAGUAGUGAAUUGGGUAUUUUGUUUUCAAGCACAUCUAAAAGUAGAGAUGAUUUGGAGAACGGUAUGGUAUAUUUUUGUCUACUUCGUAAAUUGUACGUGUUUUAGCUUGUUGAUCUUAGAAUUGAUGUUUCCAGGGUUCUAUUACGGAUUCGCUCUGGGACGUCGCAGUUUCCAGAAAAUGAUUGCCGGUCAAUUUGUGUGUGCGUGCAGGAUUUGAGUAGUAGUGGAAGUCACUUGGCUAGUACGUACGGUGGAUUAGCAAUUUUGAAGCUAGUUGGGGAUGACUUGGAAAUUAUUGAUACUGAAGCUAUGUUAAUCACGAUGAAACAUCUUCAGCAACCUGAUGGGAGAUACACUAUUAUUUGUUUCGUGGACUAGAAUUUUAUUUUUAUACUAUUCAUACUAGUGCAAGAGAAGGACCUCCAUUUUGUAUAUGGGCUGCUACGUUAACUUCUUUGUUGAGCGAUUGAAUGACAGUAUUUCGUUUCACUAUCACUCAAUUGAUGGCGAGCUCAACUCACUGCAUUACUACUUGCAUUCCAGAAGAUAUAAUCUUUGAGAUUUUGGUAAGGCUGAAAACGAAUGCAUCUUAGUGCUUAGGCCAUUGUUUAAAGUACUUAUAUAUGUGUUGUUUCACUUCUUUGAAUUGGUGUGAAUUUCACUAAUUAUUAAAGACAUGAGUAAGUAACUAAUUAGUUAUGUUAGGGUUAGUCGUUUGGAUACAUAUGAUGGUGGCAGCAUGACUCUCUUACAAGUAAUAACAAACUAUUAGAAGAAUCUCCCUUCAGAUACAUUUUAUUUACAGGAGAGUCAUAUUCCCGCCAAGUUAGAGCAUCCCAAUAGACAUUUUGUAGUUGAAUUGUUAAAAGUUGGAUCUGCAGUAAUAGGUUGUCAAGUGGUUCAUGAAUUUGUUUAUCUGCCAUGGUAGCUUGUUUCUUAGUGUGUGGAUUGCCUCUAAAAGGGAUGAUUCUUGGUCAGAUAGUGGUGGACAACUGUAUUUUUUGGCUGGGGAUAUUUUUUCAAAGGGUUCGCUACCGUUUUUUGGUUGUUUGUAUUGGGUUGUGGUUACCAUUUGCUUUAAUGUUGAUGUUUCCAGUCAUCCUAUGGUAUUGUUGACUACUUCGAUGGUAGAUGUGCUUCCCUCGCUAUUAUAACUCACAGUGGGAGACAUUUGUGAGUAAAAUCCUUCUACUUUUGAUUUGCUUUCUCGUUCCUAUGUCAUACAUCUAUCUCUGCUCAUAUGCAGGUCUGGGCAGCCUAUCAAAGUUAAUUGGGCGUAUGAGGACACCUCAGUGCUCAUGGUGUAGCGAACCAAUCUAUUAGCCUAUGAGCGACAAAUGCAAAUGAGCAAAGAUGGAAAGUGGAAAAUUUAAUGGGGAGUGAGUGUAAGAUUGCUGAAGUGUGUUUCAGAUGGUGAAGCCGGAUGAUGUCAAUGAGAACAAGUAAGGAAAUACUAGCUUGCAAUGUUAAAUUUAUAAAUGAUGAAAGUAAUCUAAACCAUAGGUAUCUACAAGAUUUGAGCUUACACUGUCUAAUUUCGAUAUGUGAAAGCCUAUGAAAACAUAGGUAUCUAGAAGAGUUGAACUAUCCAUGACUCCAUAUAGAUAUGCUGUAUGAUUUCAGGAAGACUAUCUUUUUAUUUAUUGAUAAAUGUAGAGUUUUGCUA